ACGUGGAUGGACCUAGAGAGUGUCAUACAGAGUGAAAAUCCUGUUUUGGUGGUGCAGCUCUUGGGAUCAGUGCUCUGAGCACCCAGCAGAAGAGGCUGUGAAUGCUUCGGGCUCAGUCAGUCAAGCACCGUGAGCUGCAACAGGGAACAUACAGACAGGAGGCCAGGUGCGCUGAAUCGACAGUCCUGAGUUUUGAAGUUUUCCUGGAGGGGACGUGAGGGGAUUUCUCCGGGAUCGAUGGAACUCCUUUUGUGAUAAAGCCUAGUCAUCAAUCAACAGGUGAGGAAGUAGAGCCAGGCAUUGGGUGAGUGUUGAUGUUUCUGGUACAAGCUGACUCUCCGCUCGUCAUCCCACACCUUCAUCCGCCAUCACCAUGCUGUCUGUCACCUCCUCUUCUCUGAAGAAGGCCCGGGCCAUCUUUUGAAAAUACAAAGCCCAGCAUUGAGACCCUCCCAACUGAGAGAGCAGGAAGGGCCAGGGCUGCUGAGGUGCUCCCUGAACCCCGCUCAGGGGAUCUGUGUUGUUCCCACCUGGGUGUAUUGUGUGGACCCCGAAAAUUCCUCCAAACCUCUGCCUCUGCGCUUCCAGAUUGCCCCUGAAAGAAAUGAACAAUAAUCAUAAUACCCACCACGUACUGACCGCUGGUCUCUUGAGGGCUGCCUUGCCAUUGGACAACAUUUGUUGAGCUCCUACUGUUUGCCAGACAGCGGGUACAUGCUUUAUGUGUGUUUAGCCCUUCUGACAACACUGUGAUUUAGGACCUGUUAAUAUGUCUGUUUUGCUGAAAUGGAAACUGAGGUUCAGAGUGGUUAAAUAACAAGGAAAAGUCCAUGUUUUUACCCCCUACACUAAUAUAUAUGUAUAUUUGUGUAUA